rnacentral:rRNA from 1 species
UACGUAGGGUGCAGGCGUUAAUCGGAAUACUGGGCGUAAAGCGUGCGCAGGCGGUCUUUUUAAGUCAGAUGUGAAAUCCCCGGGCUUAACCUGGGAACUGCGUUUGAAACUGGAAGGCUAGAGUGGUGGCAGAGGGGGGUGGAAUUCCACGUGUAGCAGUGAAAUGCGUAGAUAUGUGGAGGAACACCGAUGGCGAAGGCAGCCCCCUGGGAUGUGACUGACGCUCAUGUACGAAAGCGUGGGGAGCAAACAGG